UACGUAGGGAGCAAGCGUUGUCCGGAAUCAUUGGGCGUAAAGCGCGCGUAGGCGGCCCCGUAAGUCCGCUGUGAAAGUCAAAGGCUCAACCUUUGAAAGCCGGUGGAUACUGUGGGGCUAGAGUACGGAAGAGGCGAGUGGAAUUCCUGGUGUAGCGGUGGAAUGCGCAGAUAUCAGGAGGAACACCAAUAGCGAAGGCAGCUCGCUGGGACGUUACUGACGCUGAGGCGCGAAAGCGUGGGGAGCAAACAGG
rnacentral:rRNA from 1 species